AGCAGUGUGGUACACAGUUGGCUUCAAGCACAGGGGGUUCUAUAAGGGAAGAUGAGAGCCCAUAUCAGCUAUUGUCAAGACAUACACUGUUCUCAUAUCUGAAGUGGACAGUGGGUGCUUAGAUGAUGCUUGAAUGCCUGACAUCAUAGGAUAUUUUCCCUGACCUGCAGUGGUACUUGCUGAUAAAUCAUCCAGUCAUGCUAUCCGAAAGGUGUGACAUCCCAAAGCUUACUUUCCUUAUUUCAUUUUCAAUCAUUCUUAGAUUUAAAAAUGGAAGUUAUUCAUGAAUAUUUUUAUAUUUUAUGAAUGUAUAACUCUUCUGCCCUUAAUUUUAAUAUUCACACUAAAUACUAAUAGACAUACCUCUGAAUUUUUAAAAAAAUACUCUUUAUUUAUUUAUCAACCAUAGCUCCAUGUUUAAUUUAUGGCCUACAUAAUAAUUUAUUUAGCAUAAAGAUAUGACUGUUCUUCUAUUCCAAUAUUACUUCAAGUUUCCAAAAUGGAAGGUUAACAUGAACCUGGAAACUAUUCCUUUUUCCAGAUCACUGUCUUUAAAGCCUGUGUCCAUCUCUAGAUUUUUCAUUCUGCUGUGUGUAAGAGGGCAAGGACUUCCUACUGCCAAGUACUGCACAUGUGGGACCCCUUGAUUUUCUUUUUCUUCUCAAAAUACACCCAUGAGUAGGUUGGGGUAGCUGUGCACUCUCAGUGAGAGAUGACACAGUGAAUGCCUGUCUUCCUGGCCUGGAAGGGGAGGGGCUCUGCUCCCUGCUGCUUAGGGAUGUGCUUCAGGGCCGCCCUGCAGAUCUCCCUUGGAAUGUGUAGUCACUAAAACGAACAAGAGUAGCUGAGGGAAUGGGCUGGCAGAAAGUAAAAGAAGGAAAGAAAAAGAAAAACUUGGAGCCGGGUUUAAUCCCAGCACUCAGGAGGCAGAGGCAGGCAGAUUUCUGAGUUCAAGGCCAGCCUGGUCUACAAAGUGAGUUCCAGGACAGCCAGAGCUAUACAGAGAAACCCUUUCUCGAAAAAACAACAACAACAACAACAAAAAAAAAAAAAAACCCAAAAAACCCCCAAAACAACAACAAAAAAAUGAAGGAAGUAACUUAAAGCCAGCUACUUCCAAAUUUUAAUUUCAACAUGAAAACUGUCUUUGUUGUAUGACAAGCAGCAGUCUGUUAGGAUGCAGCCUCUCUGUAGGAAUAUUGUCUCUCCAUAUGCAUCUCAUCAGAUUGCUGUAAUUAUUAGCAAACUUGUACCCAAAUAACAGAUCAUAAUCAGUUCUUUCCUAGAAAAUAAGUCCAUAGAAUAUGUAUCCAAGUUUUAGAUAGCCAACCCUAUAUAUUUUUAUGCACCUAGAAACAAAACAAAACAAAACAAAAAUCAAAAACAAAACAAACCCAGUAACAACAACCAGAUAACAGUGUCCUUGAGGACAAAGCCACCCUAUCUGGAGAGGGUCAUUUGCUUGUACUCAAUAUCAAGGAGUAGGCGUGUUUACAUCACGUUCCUUGAGAGCUCCCACCUUCUGCCAGGAGAUCUUACCCACCCCUGCUCCAGGUUCUUCUCUCACGUCUAUCAUUGGAGGGCAAGGUCUGCUAGUGUCCAGAAUACAAACUCUCUUGGUCCUGUGCAGAGGUUCUGCAGUCUUCCCUCCAUAGACGAUGGGCAAACUUGUCUUCACCCUGGUUUAGCUUUAGCUUUUAGGUUCUGCCCCACCUUGGAGAAAGUUUCCCAGAAUUUGCAGGUGAGGUUUACGUCUGAAAAUACCUCCAUGAUUCAGUCAUACUGAAGCCAGUGCUCUUGACCUUGGAGCUCUGAUGAGUGGCCCAAGACCUUGGGUCGGGGGUGCCCAGCACCUGACUGACCCUUUGCAGAUCAGUUUUCUUCCCUCCCUGAGUACGCUAACUUUAUUCUCCUAACGCGACUACUGUCUGCUGCCAUUUGCCUGGCUUGCUUGAAGAUACCUUUUAUAUUAACUUGUUCUCACGUCACCGAGGAUAGUCCCAGGGAGACCCUGAGAAGCAGACACGUUGUCAGUUUCUGACAGCCAGCUACUUCCCUAAGCAUGGACAACUUGCCUCGCCUUCUCUUGGCUACAGUUACCGACCUUGGCCACUGAGGUAAAAUAAUAGUAACUGAAACCGGGCAUCCCUAAGAGUAGCUGGGAUCAGGUCUUUGUGGAGCCUCCAUGGCACCUCAGUGCGUGAUGAGUUUUCCAGCGUCUCAGUGGCGUGUGGGGACAAAAUUGCUGAGCAGAGAUAUUCCUUCUUCUCCAGAAUCCUCAGGCUACCUUCUUACCUUGAUUGGGUUGGGUGGGGGAGACAGUUUCUGUCUGAAGACAUUACCUGUGGUUUCUGACUCUUGAAAUGUUUAACGGAUUAAAUGAGAUGUAUAAGGUGCUUCCAUUCAGGACCAGGGUUAAGUAAGUACUCAUGAGACGUGCCGCUUCCUCAUUCACUGUUCCUUCGUAACUUGGAAGACCGCACAACAGAGUUGCUUAGAAAUAAAAUUGGAGCUGAGGCUCUGGUGAGAUGGCUUAGCAGGUGAAAGCACUGUCACCAAGUCUGACAUGAUUUUGAUCCCCAGGACCCAUAUAGUGGAAGGAGAGAACCUCAAAUUGCCUGUCCUCAAAUACACAGGCUCUGAUGUGCUCGGAGCUCCUCUCCAGCACAAGAGGACACCAAACACACACACACACACACACAUGAGUAAAUAAAUAUAAAGAAAAGUUUUUACUGUAUCUAAGCAUUACAGGUCAAAUUAUGUGAUUUAUGAAUUCAGAGUCAUUGCUACGUUACCUCCCCCUGAAGCAGAGCCGGCCGGUUCUCAUUUAGUUGAUCAAGUUGCUGUCUUCUAGUCCUAACGCAUUGCACUGUUUCCUUUCAAGCCCAGUCAGAUUACUCUUAAACUGUGUGCCUAGUCUGAUAUGGACUUGCCUUUCUGUAAUCUAGCUUUGGGCAGCAAGCAUCACUAUAUAUAAUGAUUUGCAGAACCAAAGAUUUUGGAAUGCUUCGUUUUAUUUAACUACCUGCUCUGUAUGAAAUGUGGCUUAGUGGUACACUAAUUGCCCAGCAUGUGUGAGGUCUGGAUUCAGUACAAAGCACCAGAAGUCAGAGACCGAAGGCUUACCACAUGCUUGGGCUCCCUAGUGAAUACCAGCCUAUCCUGGGCUACAGUGUAAGGCCCUGUAUUGAGGGAGGACAAAGGAGGGGAGAGAAAGAGAGACAGAGAUAGAAUGAGAAUAAAUCUGCCCACAGAUUUAGGUUUUUAUCUAAGCUAGGCAAAAUAGCAGGAUAUAUAAUGCUAUUUUAAGUAGUCAGUUGUAGGCGGCAGACCAACUCGGUGUCAAUGCCUUUUGUGUAGGACCAAUCGGCAAGUAUACAUUCCCUGAGAAGUUUGUUCCCACACCUUCAGAACACCUAGGCUAAAAUGCUGCUUCUAUAAUUCCUGGACCUAACCUAAGAGAAUUUCUCUGAGGGCCCAUUUAGUCAUCCAGACUUCUGUCUACUUACGAGUAGCUUUCGCAGAAGGGCACUGUCAUAUAAAGUAGUCUGUCAUGCACUUUACAAAUUAUAAGCUUGUACAGCCUUAUGACAGUUUAUUCUAAGCAUGAAAACUGGUUCAUGAGUUUAUUAAAUGUAGCUCUGUCAGCCUGUGGCAUAUGACUGUGACACAUGUAUGUGAAUCUUCUGGACAAGGUUAUGUUUUAAACAUGAAAUUUCAGUAUAUGCUUACCAGUUUAAUAUUUGGUUUUAUCUUCAGGUAUAGUUUAUGGUACUACUGAAAAUAGUUUUAAUAUUAUUACUCUGAUCUGAAUUUGUAAUAUACAAUCUACUUUGAGAUGAUUAAUAAAAAUUUUUAAUCUCUUGC
rnacentral:lncRNA from 1 species